rnacentral:rRNA from 1 species
UACAGAGGUCUCAAGCGUUGUUCGGAUUCAUUGGGCGUAAAGGGCGCGUAGGCGGCUCGUGAAGUCGGGUGUGAAAGCCCGGGGCUCAACCCCGGAACGGCAUCCGAUACUGGCGGGCUUGAGACCGGGAGAGGAGGGUGGAAUACCCAGUGUAGAGGUGAAAUUCGUAGAUAUUGGGAAGAACACCGGUGACGAAGGCGGCGCUCUGGACCGAGACUGACGCUGAGGCGCGAAAGCGUGGGGAGCAAACAGG